rnacentral:rRNA from 1 species
UUGAUGCCAUGCUUCCAAGAAAAGCUUCUAAGCUUCAGGUAACCAGGAACCGUACCCCAAACCGACACAGGUGGUCGGGUAGAGAAUACCAAGGCGCUUGAGAGAACUCGGGUGAAGGAACUAGGCAAAAUGGCACCGUAACUUCGGGAGAAGGUGCGCCGGCUAGGGUGAAGGAUUUACUCCGUAAGCUCUGGCUGGUCGAAGAUACCAGGCCGCUGCGACUGUUUAUUAAAAACACAGCACUCUGCAAACACGAAAGUGGACGUAUAGGGUGUGACGCCUGCCCGGUGCCGGAAGGUUAAUUGAUGGGGUUAGCGCAAGCGAAGCUCUUGAUCGAAGCCCCGGUAAACGGCGGCCGUAACUAUAACGGUCCUAAGGUAGCGAAAUUCCUUGUCGGGUAAGUUCCGACCUGCACGAAUGGCGUAACGAUGGCGGCGCUGUCUCCACCCGAGACUCAGUGAAAUUGAAAUCGCUGUGAAGAUGCAGUGUAUCCGCGGCUAGACGGAAAGACCCCGUGAACCUUUACUGUAGCUUUGCACUGGACUUUGAGCCUGCUUGUGUAGGAUAGGUGGGAGGCUUUGAAGCGUGGACGCCAGUUCGCGUGGAGCCAUCCUUGAAAUACCACCCUGGCAUGCUUGAGGUUCUAACUCUGGUCCGUGAUCCGGAUCGAGGACAGUGUAUGGUGGGCAGUUUGACUGGGGCGGUCUCCUCCUAAAGAGUAACGGAGGAGUACGAAGGUGCGCUCAGACCGGUCGGAAAUCGGUCGCAGAGUAUAAAGGCAAAAGCGCGCUUGACUGCGAGACAGACACGUCGAGCAGGUACGAAAGUAGGUCUUAGUGAUCCGGUGGUUCUGUAUGGAAGGGCCAUCGCUCAACGGAUAAAAGGUACUCCGGGGAUAACAGGCUGAUACCGCCCAAGAGUUCAUAUCGACGGCGGUGUUUGGCACCUCGAUGUCGGCUCAUCACAUCCUGGGGCUGAAGCCGGUCCCAAGGGUAUGGCUGUUCGCCAUUUAAAGUGGUACGCGAGCUGGGUUUAGAACGUCGUGAGACAGUUCGGUCCCUAUCUGCCGUGGACGUUUGAGAUUUGAGAGGGGCUGCUCCUAGUACGAGAGGACCGGAGUGGACGAACCUCUGGUGUUCCGGUUGUCACGCCAGUGGCAUUGCCGGGUAGCUAUGUUCGGAAAAGAUAACCGCUGAAAGCAUCUAAGCGGGAAACUUGCCUCAAGAUGAGAUCUCACUGGGAACUUGAUUCCCCUGAAGGGCCGUCGAAGACUACGACGUUGAUAGGCUGGGUGUGUAAGCGUUGUGAGGCGUUGAGCUAACCAGUACUAAUUGCCCGUGAGGCUUGACCAU